GCCUGCGGAAGAAGGAGGAGGAGGGCUGGCGAUGAGAAGCAGCAGGGGGAAUCAAGGGCAAGAAGGGACCCAGAGGGGCAGGUGGCUGAGAUGCUGGCGUCCAGGUGACCCGAGGAAUCCUCUGGAGAUACAGGCCCGCGCAUGCGCGUGCUCGAGCGCUGAAGCCCAUUGCCCGCAGGGCGCUGGACUGGCGCCCCGGCCGGCGAGGCUGUCUAGUCCAGGCUCCAGGCCCCGGCUCUGGCCAGGCGCCGCCGCCUCCCGGUGCAGCUGAAAGUCGACGAAGAGGGCGGGGCGGGGGCGGCUUGUGGACUUCCACACUUUUCCUCUCUUCGGGCCAGUCUGGGGAGAGGGUGGCUAGCUGUGGCGGCGGCCAAUUACGUGGCGGACCUGCGGGGCUAAGCUGGCACGUCACUUCCGACUAGUGGAGUUUUUAGCCUUUUAACAUUCAAGGAUUAGGUAAGUUCUCCCCGCGGUAGACUUCAAAUACUCUUUGUCCUGCCCCUGCUUGGCGAAAUUUACCGAAAUUAUCUACCUAUCCCGCUGGAGUGGGAGCCGGGGGAGAGCUGGAACCGCGUCUCUGCUGCUCACCUUUGUGUCCUUAGCUCCUUCGCAUGGGGUCCGACCGCAACACGUGCGCUGGAUAAACGCUUGUUAACUGGGUAAAAGUCUUGCAGUGAAAAACCCGAGGACCCUUACCGCAAGUGUCUUUUGCUCCCAGCUACUGAUACUGGAUUCCACUCGUGAUUCUCCCUUUCUUAGCGCAUUCAUGAUAUAGACAUCAGUCUCUGAGCUGGAGGAGGACAAAGGCAGCGGUCCUGUGAAUUCUAUGCUCUAGCUUGGGUUAAGGGAUUUGGAAUUGCACUUGUUUCAGAGAGCUCCCUCUUUGCCCACUAGCAGGGCAUUAGCUGGUGCUGAAGACAGUGGCUGCUUGGCGAGCCUGGAUCUCCAAGUGACCCCCUCAGCAACUCCUGAUGAACAGGACUGAAGCCAAUAUUAAAGCAAGUCAACCAAAGGUUCUCUGGUGUAGACAAGACAGCAAAAGGACAGACUACCUUGUGGAACCUAGCAUUGUUCUCCUUCUGCAGCACUAAGUAACAUUUGUUCUCCGUUAAGAUCUUUGCAAACCACACACAAGAAUUGCUGGUCAUCCUGCCAAUAGAUGCUGCUCACAGAACCAAAUUUCCUGUGCUGAAUUGUCACUCAUGGGCUUGAGAGUAGGAGACUGGAGACCAAGGUGGCUAGAAUCCAGUUGGGCCUGAUGUCUCCCUGUUGAAAGGGCUCCUUGUGGAAUGAAUAGCACAUGGCUCCUGUGGUGGAUCUGAUAGUGGCAUAGCACCAAGUGAUGCAGGCCUGCCAGGGGCCACAGACACAGAAGAUGCUCCCGGGGUCCCCCAUGUACUCCAGACACACUGCAGGCCACCUCUCCCAGCAGGUUGCCAGUCAUGGGCCCCAUCAUCAUGACUUCUGUCCAAGGUACUGUGUGCAGAAAUGUGAUUGAGAUUCAAGUCAGGGCCUCUCUGCCCUUUUCCCUCCAGAAACAAAACCAAGAUAAUUUAUCCUGAACACGGUGAAAAAAGGAAGGGAGGGAGGAGAAAAAGUCCGGGUCUCACCUGGGAUUCUCUGUCUCCUGCAACAUGAAGGAUUUAGCCUGGGAGGAGGUGGUGAGAACUCUGGGAGAGAAAAAAGAAGGAAAGAAUAGUUUUACCCAUGCUGAAGUUAAUUUAAACCUUCACCUAGAGAAGCAAAAAAAAAAAACCCACACUUUCCCAUUUUGUGCCUCCCUUCCUAGAGUUUUAGCCAAAGGUUUAGCUAAGUAAUUGGUUUUACCAGCGCACUCACUCCUCCUAUCCCAAGUCUGUUUGACUCCCUCCCCAUCAUCCUCCUCACCUCUUUUCAGGCAGGGUGGGGAUAGCAGCAGGAGGAGAUUUUGGGAGCCUGGCAACUCCUGCAAGGACCGCAGGACAGCCCCUCUGUGGGGAUGCGUGGUGCCCCAUCUGCCGCCCUUCUGAAGAAUGCACUGCCUUCACUUUUUACUGUGUUAGAGUCCAUCCAGACUGUUCUAUCCAAAAAAGUUUCUUUUUCCCCCACAGGCAAUCAGGAAAUGAUUCCUUUCCCGACUGCUUCUGUCUAGUGCCUGGGAAUCUUGAGUCAAUCCCUCAGUAAGUCAGUGACUAGGGAAAUCCCUCUCUGAGCCUCCCAGUUCAUGUUGCUUAGGGAACCUGAUAUUUUCGUGAAACCUGCCUACACAUGGGCAGCCCAACAGCAGAACAAAUGGUGGUGACCAAAGUGAACAAAGAAGUAUAGUUGUGCCAGCUUCGUAGUUGCCCAUGUGGACAAGUCAGCAGGAUCAGGACACGAGGAAGAGUAAAUGUGAGACAGUCAAUGUGACUUCUGCGAUAAACAGAUUUUUAAACCCCGAAAUUUUGCAAAAUUUUGGUGAAACCUGAACUUUCUUCGUUGCAUAUACUGGCACUAUCUGUACCAUCAUACAACUGUCUCACAUUAAAGCUAUUUUUCUUGGGCACUGAUGAGUAAGGUUGGUAUAAGUUCCUCAGAUCAACAAAAACCCAUUUUCCUGUAAGUCUUACAUUUAGUAUUUAAGGAACUAAAACUUAAAUACAUUUUGUGAAAUGGUUGACACUUCACUGAUAAUGAUUUAUUGCUUGGAUUAAUAAAUUUUCCAAAAGUUGUCUUAUGUAGAAUAUGGUUUGCAACCAGCAGAACCAUUAAUCUAUACUGCAAUGAUAUGCACUAUGUAUAAUUGUUUAAAAGCCUCUACUUAAUGAUGUAAAAUGCUCUAUUUAAUUACACAUUUGGGUAAACUGUAUACUAACAUCUGAUGGCAUUUUUCCACUGUUUGUUGCUUUUUUCAAAUACUUUAUUGUACAAAGCUGUUCUUAAUAUUUUUCAAGUUUUUUUCUUUGAAUUUUGCUAAUGUUUUCCUUGAAUUAUGAGCACUGACAGAAUGUGCUUAGCACUUUUGGCUAUUCACACAGCUUUUGAGCAUGAUUUGCAUCCAAUAUUUACAUUGCUAGCAAUAAUAAGCCAUCUGUGAGUUUUGUCAAAAGUUAUUGGGGAUUUUUUAAAUUUUAGAAAUGCAAAUUAUUGUUUCUUUGAACUAACUCUUAUGCAGUUGCAAAGGCAUUUCCAGUUGUUAUAGUUUGUGUACAAUAUCAGGUGUUCCAGAUUAUGAUUCAUUAUUAAUAUCAUUGCUUCCUUGUUCCCUCUGAGGUCCAGAAGAUUCAUGUUUACAAUAUUUAGAAACAAUGUUAAAAAGGUAUCCAAAGUUUGUCACUUUAUUAUUAGUUUGUUCUUAAUAUUCUGUUUAAGUUUUUGAAUUCAUAGAUAUCAAAACGCUGCACAAUUAUGAUUUCCACAGGAAUAACAACACACUAACAAUAAGAACCAAAAACAGCAAAUAGGCUGCCUACAAGUUUUGACAAUAUUAGGAUAAUGAUAAUGACAGUUUUUCUAAAUCUCACAGUAAAGAAUGCAGCAACCCAGCAACACUGCUACCUGUGGCCUCAGGCUGCAGUGUCAGCUCUUCCCUGGGUCUCCAGCCUGCCAGUCUAACCUGAAAAUUAUGUACUUGCCAGCCCCCACAGUCACGUGAGUGAACUGGCCCAGGCUGGUCACCAGGGUCAGUUUCUCUGUGUGUCAUUAAUUCAUUCAGUCUUCAGCAGUCUCUUUGGAGCUGAGAUGUACCUACCAUCUGCCUUUUGGGUGCUUAGGGUGGAGAACCAGAAAAGUAUAACCUAGUGUGUAUCCUCAAAGAGCUAACAAUAUGGGGUGGUACCUAUAGGUCUGGAAACACUUUACUGACUCUGUGAGGCAUACCAGGAGACGUCAGAGAACAGUCCCUCCUCAAAUGCCAAAUGAGAUGCAGAAGAAAUAGUUUGCUCAAGUUCAUGGGCCAGAUAUCCCAGUGGUCAGGGAGUUUCAUGAAUGAGAUGGAACUUUGCAUGGAACCCGAGGGAUGUGUAUGAUUUGAGUAGAUGAAGAAAAUGAGACUUUCCAAGCAGCUAGAAGUUAGGGAGCAGCAAGAUGUGUGGUGGGAUUGAGCACAGUUGGUUCAGAGGAUAGACUGCAGUUUUAAUAAUUUGUAGUAAAUAUCUCCCAACUGUUUGGCACUAUUGGAGCAAGUUCUUGAAUGCCAAAUGAAGGCAUAAAUCAGUAAGAGGCAUAAUAAAAGGCUGAGCAGUGCUUGGCUUUUUACGAACUGAUCCUGAUAGGAGCAGCUGUUCAACAAAGUUGCCAGGUCACCGUUACAUAGUCCCUGCCUUCUAGGGGCUCACUGCCUACUGGGAGAGACAGUCUGAAAGUUGGUGGAGCAUGUAACUGUUGGAUGAGGAGUUUGAGCCUGUGGACUGUGGGACCCCCGAGGAGGGUGUGGCUACUCUAGGCAGAACAAUCCCACAGUUUAUUUAUAUUUAACCUUGAAAUUCAUUAGAGGAUUUUUCAGCAGAGGUUUGGUACUUGUUAAUGUUAAGGUUUGCAUUCUCUAGAACCUCAAGGAAAGCUGUACCGUGCAUAAUGUACCCUCUUAUGUUAAUGUUGUGUACUGUGAUCCUGUUUCAGGGACUUGCACUUAGGAAUCUGUUACAGUGAGCACAGAAGCAGACCUGUGGGCUCAUAGUCUUCACCCCCCACCCAUAUAUACAAGAUGAACAGAGUGGAGGUUAAACAACUUGACUAAACAACACAGUUCAUGGUAAAGCCCAAGACUGUACCUGCCCAUCCACUGCCUUUUCCAUGUAUCCUGGAACUGAGCAUAGACCUCUUCCCAGGCAGAGCUGACAGCAAGUAAAGGAGAUCAUAAUCAGGGGACCAAACAACUUUGUCUAAAGUGUGAAUGUCACCUAAGGAGAAGCUGUGAGAUCAGAAGGGUGGGGCAGAGGAGCAGACACCAUGAGGGAGAGUCCUUGGGGGUACAUCUGCCAGACUGACACUGUCUGGCCUGGGCAGUGGAGGGGCUAGCAGGAACCACAGGUACUGGUGGUGUGGCUACUACCGUUACAACUGCCUGUGCUUGGACAUGGACCCUCUGCAAUAUGCGGCAGUUUCAUUCAUUGCCCCCUACAUUCUACACCAAGUAGAAAUGGAAGGCAAUUGGAUACUUCACAGACAAGAUCUAAGUGGAGAAGGAAUGCGUCCUGUGGCUGCAGAGAUCCUUGGAGCUUGGAGGGGAGAGCUUGAGCCCCACUGAUGAUGACCUCCCACAGCUCGCCAACUCAGCCCUCCCUAAGUCCCCAUCGGGGGCCAAUUCUCACUCUGGGGUUGGGGGGACUCCACCAUAGCUCAUCCAUCAUAGGGAUGUUGGUAUCUACUGUGGGUUGGGUAGGGCCGAUGUGCUGAGGAUGGCUCCCCCACAAGCAAGAGAUGUGGAUUUGGGGAGCUUCCCAUCUUGUGUUGAAGGAACAUAACUCAGAAUAAUAAGAGCCAACUAUAACAAACCCACAGCCAACAUCAUACUGAAUGGGCAAAAGCUGCAGGCAUUCCCCUUGAAAAGUGGCACAGGAUAAGGAAGCCCUUUCUCACCACUCCUAUUCAAUAUAGUGUUGAAAGUCCUGAUCACAGCAGUCAGGCAACAGAAAUAAUAAAGGGCAUCCAAAUAGGAAGAGAGGAAGUCAAACUAUCCUUGUUUGCAGACAGUAUGAUUCUAUAUCUAGAAAACCCCAUAGCCUCAGCCCAAAAGGUCCUUCAUCUGAUAAUUUCAGCAAAGUUUCAGGAGACAAAAUCAGUGUACAAAAAUCACUAACAUUCCUAUACACAGUCGCCAAGCCAAGAGCCAAAUCAGGAGCACAAUCCCAUUCAUAAUUGCCACAAAAAAGAAUAAAAUACCCAGGAAUGCAGCUAACCAAGGAAGUAAAGGAUCUCUACAAUGAGAAUCACAAACGCUGCUCAAAGAAAUCAGAGAUGACACAAACAAAUGGAAAAACUUUCCAUGCUCAUGGCUAGGAAGAAUCAAUAUCAUUAAAGUGGCCAUACUACCCAAAGCAAUUUAUAGAUUCAAUGCUAUUCCUAUCAAACUAUCAAUUACAUUUUUCACAGAACUAGAAAAAACUUAAAAUUCAUAUGGAACCAAAAAGCCUGAGUAGUCAAGGCAAUCCUAAACAAAAAGAACAAAGGUGGAGGCAUCACAUUACCUAACUUCAAACUACAGGGCUACCAUGACCAAAACAGCAUGGUACUGGUACAAAAGCAGACACACAGACCAGUGGGACAGAAUAGAGAGCCCAAAAAUAAGGCCACAAACCUACAGCCAUCUGAUCUUCAACAAAGUUGACAAAAACAAGCAAUGGGGAAAGGUCUCCCUAUUCAAUAAAUGGUGCUGGGAUAACUGGCUGGCCAUAUGCAGAAGAUCGUAACUGGACCCCUUUUACUAUGUACAAAAAUUAAGAUGGUUUAAAGAGUUAAAACCCAAAAUUAUAAAAAUCCUGAAGAUAACUUAGGCAAUACCAUUCUGGACAUAGGAACUGGCAAAUAUUUCAUGAUGAAGACACCAAAAGCAAUUGUAACAAAAGCAAAAAUGGACAAAUUGGAUUUAAGAGCUUUUUCAUAGCAAAAUAAACAACAGGGCAGACAAUCUACCAAAUGACAGAAAAUUUUUGCAAACUAUGCAUCUGACAAGGGGCUAAUAUCUAGCAUCUAUAAGGAAUUUAAACACAGUUACAGGAAAAAAAAAACCCACUCCAUUAAAAAAUGGGCAAAGGACAUGAACAGACACUUUUCAAAAAAGACAUACAUACAGCCAACUAGCGUGUUAAAGAAAACCUCAAUUAUCACUGAUCAUUAGAGAAAUGCAAAAUCAAAACCAUGAUGAGAUAUCAUCUGCCAGUCAGGAUGGCUACAAAAAAGUAAAAAAAUAAUAGAUGUUGGUGAGGUUAUGGAGAAAAGGAACUUAUACACUUGUUAGGAGUGUAAAUUAGUUCAAUCACUGUGGACAGCAGUGUGGUGAUUCCUCAGAGAGCUAAAAACAACUACCAUUUGACUCACCAAUCCCAUUACUGGAUAUUUACCUAAAGGAAUAUAAAUCAUUCCACCAUAAAGACACAUGCAAGUGUAUGUUCAUUGCAGCACUAUUAACAGUAACAAAGCUGGGCACAGUGGCUCACCUCACGACUGUAAUCCCAGCACUUUGGGAGGCUGAGGUAGGCGGAUCACCUGAGGUCGGCAGUUUGAGACCAGCCUGACCAACAUGGAGAGACCCCAUCUCUACUAAAAAUACAAAAUUAGCCAGGUGUGGUGGCUCAUGCCUGUAAUCCCA
rnacentral:lncRNA from 1 species